UACGUAGGGUGCGAGCGUUGUCCGGAAUUAUUGGGCGUAAAGAGCUCGUAGGCGGUGUGUCACGUCGGCCGUGAAAACCUGGGGCUUAACUCUGGGCGUGCGGUCGAUACGGGCAUCACUAGAGUUCGGCAGGGGAGACUGGAAUUCCGGGUGUAGCGGUGAAAUGCGCAGAUAUCAGGAGGAACACCGGUGGCGAAGGCGGGUCUCUGGGCCGAUACUGACGCUGAGGAGCGAAAGCAUGGGUAGCGAACAGG
rnacentral:rRNA from 1 species